AUUGACUGUCUGAGGACGUCUGUUGGAGUAGGGAGAAUCAGUGUUAUAUAUAGAUAUAUAUAUAUCAGUAUCCAAACUUCUUACUCGAGUUAAUAAGUAGUCCUAUUGUAUGUAGCUUCCGUUUAGUAGAAAGAUAUUUCGAAUAGUGUACAACACAGAUUAUAAUGAUUUAACUUUACUAGGAAACACAAUGUCAUUAUAUUUUAAAUCCCAGACAAAGGGCUUCAGUACACACAACUUGGCAAGUUUCGUCGAAAUUCGUGUGAGUUGUUCUGAUAAAAAUUUUUAACAAAGGCCAAAAAAACGUACAUUUUUCUUAGGCCUACAUUAGUUGGAAGCUAGAUCUUAAAAGUACAAAAUUCCAUGUACAAAGUGAAGAUACAAAGAAGAAAGUUACGCCUGAGGUUACAACCGUUAUAUUUCGACUGCUCAGUAAUCAGGAGUAAACGUAGUAAAUUUUUCUGUUGCAGUCCCACUCCCAGCAGAAAAUGUAACGUUAGAACGUGUCUUUGUAGAUAUUUUUAGAUUUGGACUACCAGUCCAGGGAUUUUAAGAAGGGAUGUCAAGCUUCAUAUUUCACAAGCAAAGACGUCUGGAGGAACAUACAGGAUUUCUGGAUGGAGUAGACUGGUAGUGUACUCUCUAGAUGACAAUGAUUGAAGAUAAAGACAGGAUACUUUUGUCUCUCCUAAAUUUGGUAUAACUAUGUGAAACAUGCUCAGAUGCUCUGCUAGUUAUAUGCAAAAUAAGUAUACAAUAUGCAAAGUAACUGGUAAAUCCUUAC